GCGGGGUUGACGGACACUCAGUCCAGACAGUGAGCUCAGGUCCUGGCCUUCAGCAAAAAUGUGUCUCGCUGGGUUUUGUAGCCUGGGAGCAGGGACAGCCCACCAUGUUCCUCACUCCUGUUCCACUAAAGACUCACUUGAUAAAUGAAGGAGACUCACAUUUUCUCUUUCAAAAGGGCAAGUCACGGUGAUGUUCAACCCCUUAAGGGAGCUGUAGCAAGCAGCCAGUUAGGGAGCCCAGGCCAUCAAGAUUUUGAGUCUCAUUAUGCUGCCUGCACGAUGAUAAACAUACCCAAGUGAGUGGUCUUCUUGAUUCCUGCCUGUGAUGUAGGCAGCGGUUUUGUAUCCCAUUUUUUAGAUGUGGAGACUGAGGUCUAAGGGGCACCUUGCCUGGGGUCAAACAGCUAGUGACUCCCACCAUCUCAAACUAAGUCCCGGCUCCGACUACUCCCAUGUUCCUUGCAGGUAGUCUCUGUUCAGGAUUGAAAAUCCAAAAUGAGAAGCCAAAAGUAAGGGAUGUACGAAGGUCCCCAAACUUCCCCAAACUAGAGUUGAUCUGAUUCAUUCCUGUGACUGGUCACCACUCCAGGACUCCACUUGGCUAGGAAUGCAUCUGUGGAGGCAAGUGCUCAGGAACUCAAAGGCCGCGGCCCGUGGCUUCGGAUCCUGGGAGCACUGUGACUGGCUCGGCCGUGUGCAGGUCGCCCUUGCAGUCAUCCUGUAGAUUGAGGACUCACUGUGGGGCAAGCUCUGGGACAGACAUUAGACAGACUAUGGAGGAUGAAGUAAGCCCCUGCCGCCAGGAGCUUCCCGUUUCAGACAGGAAGGUAAUUCACAGUUCGUCAUCCCAGCUGCAGGCGGUUGGAAGGCCAAGCGCAUGGCGAAGGUGUGACGCUGUGGGAGUGUGGCAGAGGGGACUUGUUGCCGAUUGAGGCUAAGACCUCAGCAGGCAGAGUGGAAGACAAGGGGAAGGUGGGAUGGAGAGGAACCUCACGCGCAGUGGCAAGGAUUCCAAAGCCACCUGGGGGCACCUCCUCUGGGGCGCGAUAGAUGCUCCUGUGGAGGUGUCCUCAACAUGCCCGGCCUGCAGCCUGAGCCUCAUGCCCAACCAGUACCAUCAUGCGGUCACAUGACAGCCUGUCAGCCAUGGAGACCAUCUGAUCAAGAAAAUGACAGGGUGAAGCUGUGCUUUGAGGAAACCCACCCAUUUGCACACCUGAAGGAAGGGGAAAUGGAGCAUUUAGAAGCCCCUGCAAUUGGUCUGCUGAGGGGGAAGACGUACUCUCAGGAGAUUGCAGGACACUGCUGACUUUUCUGUGUUCUCUGUCUUGUUGAUUUCAAGGAGUUUUCUAUAUUGAGGACAGUAGCUGUCUGUUAUAUAUGUCACAAAAUUUUCUGUCCUGUUGUCAUUUGUCUUGUUAAUAAAAAAAAGAAACCUGUAGGACCUCUCAAAUAUACAGGAGUUUUAGUUAUUGAUCCACUUUUAUUUAUUGCAUUUGGGACUGGAAACUUCUCAUAGAGUCCUUUUUUCCUAGUAGAAUAAAAGAAAGUCCUGUUUUUAACAUC